rnacentral:lncRNA from 1 species
UAUAGCUCAACUGGGAGAAGAGAAAAUCGUAAGGGUAGCAUUGAGCAAUCUCGAUAUACCUACUCUAGACGUAUCUUUAUUUCUUUAGACUCUCCAGGUAUUUAUCUCUGAACUCUUUCAAGGUUUCUUUGUUUUCAACACUUUGAUCAAUUCUGAUAAGGUGCCAUGAUGGUCUUUCAUAUGAUAGUUUAUCAUAAACUAUCCAUAUAAACUAAUCGAGGAUCGCA